GCCUGGGUGGCUCAGUCGGUUGAGCAUCCGACUUCGGCUCGGGUCAGGAUCUCACAGUUUGUGAGUUCGAGCCCUACAUCGGGCU
rnacentral:tRNA from 1 species